GAGCAGAACCGGUCAGGCAAGGCUAUCGUCUGUAGUGCAAGCAAUGGAUAGCGUUUUCCAUAAAGAAACUAGCUAGAAAGCAGGCCACGCAGGCAUGCAAUAGUAAAAGCAAGCUAACACACGGGCGAGGUUGAAGGCCCACAGGUUGUGAACUUCUUUUCCCGAAGAAGAAGCAAUGCGGUAUCUGGGGAAUAAGCAUCGGUUAGCUCUAUGCCAGCAUCCGCGGUAAUACAAAGGAUGCAAGCGUUAUCCAGAAUGAUUGGGUGUAAAGUGUAUGUAGGUGGCUUUUAAGUCCGCCGUCAAAUCCCAUGGCUCAACCCUGGACAGGCGGUGGAAACUACCAAACUAGAGUACGGUAGGGGCAGAGGGAAUUUCAGGUGGAUUGGUGAAAUGCGUAGAGAUCGGAAAGAACACCAACGGUGAAAACACUCUGUUGGGCCGAUACUGACACUAAGAGACAAAAGGUAGGGUAGCGAAUGAGAUUAAAUAUCCAGUAGUCCUAUCCAUAAACGAUGUAUACUAGGCGUUGUGUGUAUUGAUCCGUGUAGUGAUGUAGCUAACACGUUAAGUAUCUCGCU
rnacentral:ncRNA from 1 species